AAUGAAGUUCCAGGGGUAAAGAAGAGGCGAGCAUUUCUGGAUUUACUGCUUUAUCAUCAUUUAACGGAUAAAAGUCUCAACGAAGAAGAUAUCAGAGAAGAAGUUGAUACAUUCAUGUUCGCAGGAUACGACACAAGUUCAAUGGGUAUUAGUUGGUCCCUUUAUCUACUCGGAUUGCAUCCCGAUAUACAA